UACAGAGGGGGCGAGCGUUGUUCGGAAUUACUGGGCGUAAAGGGCUCGUAGGCGGCCAACUAAGUCCGACGUGAAAUCCCCAGGCUUAACCUGGGAACUGCGUCGGAUACUGGAUGGCUUGAAUUCGGGAGAGGGAUGCAGAAUUCCAGGUGUAGCGGUGAAAUGCGUAGAUAUCUGGAGGAAUACCGGUGGCGAAGGCGGCAUCCUGGACCGACAUUGACGCUGAGGAGCGAAAGCCAGGGGAGCAAACGGG
rnacentral:rRNA from 1 species